rnacentral:rRNA from 1 species
AUUGAACGCUGGCGGCAGGCCUAACACAUGCAAGUCGAACGAGUGGCGGACGGGUGAGUAAUGUCUGGGAAACUGCCCCAUGGAGGGGGAUCACUACUGGAAACGGUAGCUAAUACCGCAUACCAUCGGAUGUGCCCAGAUGUGAUUAGCUAGUUGGUGGGGUAACGGCUCACCUAGGCGACGAUCCCUAGCUGGUCUGAGAGGAUGACGAGCCACACUGGAACGGAGACACGGCCCAGACCCCUACGGGAGGCAGCAGUGGGGAAUAUCGGACAAUGGGCGAAAGCCUGAUGCAGCCAUGCCGGGGGGAUGAAGAAGGCCUUCGGGGUGUAAAGUACGUUCAGCGGGGAGGCGGUACUCGCAGAAGAAGCACCGGCUAACUCCGUGCCAGCAGCCGCGGUAAUUC